rnacentral:rRNA from 1 species
AACGUAGGGCGCGAGCGUUGUCCGGAUUUAUUGGGCGUAAAGAGCUCGUAGGCGGCUUGUUACGUCGACUGUGAAAACCCGCGGCUUAACUGCGGGCUUGCAGUUGAUACGGGCAGGCUAGAGUUCGGUAGGGGAGACUGGAAUUCCUGGUGUAGCGGUGAAAUGCGCAGAUAUCAGGAGGAACACCGGUGGCGAAGGCGGGUCUCUGGGCCGAUACUGACGCUGAGGAGCGAAAGCGUGGGGAGCGAACAGG